UAUAUACUCCCUCCGUCCGAAAAAGCUUGUCCCUUAAAUGAAUGUAUUUAGCACCAAGUUAGUGCUAGAUACAUCCAUUUGAGGGACAAACGAGGAACAAGCUUUUUCGGAAGGAGGGAGUAUAUG
rfam:Triticum aestivum genome assembly, contig: Triticum_aestivum_CS42_TGACv1_scaffold_526488_6DL